rnacentral:rRNA from 1 species
GGUGAACGCUGGCUGUGUGCCUGAUACAUGCAUGUCGAGCGAAGUGAUUUAUCACUUAGCGGCGAAUGGGUGAGUAACACGUACUCAACGUACCCUUCAGUUUGGCAUAGCGGUUGGAAACAACCAAUAAUUCCAAAUACUCGUAGAUGCCGCAUGGCACUUACGGAAAAGACGCCUUAAAGCGUCGCUGGAGGAGCGGGGUGCGCAACGAUUAGCUAGUUGGUGAGGUAACGGCCCACCAAGGCGAUGAUGUUUAGCGAGGUUGAGAGACUGAUCCGCCACACUGGGACUGAGAUACGGCCCAG